GACGUAGGGCGCAAGCGUUGUCCGGAUUUAUUGGGCGUAAAGAGCUCGUAGGUGGUUCGGUAAGUCGGAUGUGAAAUCUCCAGGCUCAACCUGGAGGGGUCAUUCGAUACUGCCGUGACUAGAGUUCGGUAGGGGAGUGUGGAAUUCCUGGUGGAGCGGUGAAAUGCGCAGAUAUCAGGAGGAACACCCGUAGCGAAGGCGGCACUCUGGGCCGAUACUGACACUGAGGAGCGAAAAGCGUGGGGAGCGAACAGG
rnacentral:rRNA from 1 species